rnacentral:tRNA from 1 species
GCUAAUUUGGCAGAUAAGUGCGGUGGAUUUAGAAUCUAUUUAUAUGUUUUAGUGGUUAACAUAUUUAGCA